AAAUUGAAGAGUUUGAUCAUGGCUCAGAUUGAACGCUGGCGGCAGGCCUAACACAUGCAAGUCGAGCGGAAACGAGUUAUCUGAACCUUCGGGGAACGACAACGGCGUCGAGCGGCGGACGGGUGAGUAAUGCCUAGGAAAUUGCCCUGAUGUGGGGGAUAACCAUUGGAAACGAUGGCUAAUACCGCAUGAUGCCUACGGGCCAAAGAGGGGGACCUUCGGGCCUC
rnacentral:rRNA from 1 species